rnacentral:rRNA from 1 species
AUUGAACGCUGGCGGCAGGCCUAACACAUGCAAGUCGAACGGUAACAGGAAGCAGCUUGCUGCUUCGCUGACGCGUGGCGGGCGGGUGAGUAAUGUCUGGCAAACUGCCUGAUGGAGGGGGAUAACUACUGGAAACGGUAGCUAAUACCGCAUAACGUCGCAAGACCAAAGAGGGGGACCUUAUGGCCUCUUGCCAUCGGAUGUGCCCAGAUGGGAUUAGCGCGUAGGUGGGGUAACGGCCCACCUCGGCGACGAUCCCUAGCUGGUCUGAGAGGGUGAACAGGCACACUGGGAAUGAGACACGGGCCAGACUCCCACGGGGGGCAGGAGUGGGGAAUAUUGGACAAUGGGCGCAAACCUGAGCCAGACAUACCGCGUGGGUGAAGAAAGCCUUCGGGGUUUAAAACCCUUUUGUGGGGGGGGAAAAGGAGCAAAUUAAAACCCCGCUGUUCUGACGGUACCCAAAGAAAAAGCACCGGCUAAAUUCGUG